AUUGAACGCUGGCGGCAGGCCUAACACAUGCAAGUCGAGCGGAUGAUGGGAGCUUGCUCCUGGAUUCAGCGGCGGACGGGUGAGUAAUGCCUAGGAAUCUGCCUGGUAGUGGGGGACAACGUUUCGAAAGGAACGCUAAUACCGCAUACGUCCUACGGGAGAAAGCAGGGGACCUUCGGGCCUUGCGCUAUCAGAUGAGCCUAGGUCGGAUUAGCUUGUUGGUGAGGUAAUGGCUCACCAAGGCGACGAUCCGUAACUGGUCUGAGAGGAUGAUCAGUCACACUGGAACUGAGAGACGGUCCCGACUCCUACGGGAGGCAGCAGUGGGGAAUAUUGGACAAUGGGCGAAAGCCUGAUCCAGCCAUGCCGCGUGUGUGAAGAAGGUCUUCGGAUUGUAAAGCACUUUAAGUUGGAAGGAAGGGUUGUAGAUUAAUACUCUGCAAUUUUGACGUUACCGACAGAAUAAGCACCGGCUAACUCUGUGCCAGCCGCCGCCGUAACAC
rnacentral:rRNA from 1 species